rnacentral:rRNA from 1 species
AGAACGAACGCUGGCGGCAGGCUUAACACAUGCAAGUCGAACGCUCAUAGCAAUAUGGGAGUGGCGCACGGGUGAGUAACGCGUGGGAACAUGCCCUUCAGUUCGGAAUAACAGUUGGAAACGACUGCUAAUACCGAAUAUUCCCUCCGGGGGAAAGAUUUAUCGCUGAAGGAUUGGCCCGCGUAAGAUUAGGUAGUUGGUGGGGUAAUGGCCUACCAAGCCUUCGAUCUUUAGCUGGUCUGAGAGGACGACCAGCCACACUGGAACUGAGACACGGUCCAGACUCCUACGGGAGGCAGCAGUGGGGAAUAUUGGACAAUGGGGAAACCCUGAUCCAGCCAUGCCGCGUGAGUGAUGAAGGCCUUAGGGUUGUAAAGCUCUUUUACCCGGGAAGAUAAUGACUGUACCGGGAGAAUAAGCCCGGCUAACUCCGUGCCAGCAGCCGC